UACGUAGGGUCCGAGCGUUAAUCGGAAUUACUGGGCGUAAAGCGUGCGCAGGCUGUUUUGUAAGUCAGAUGUGAAAUCCCUGAGCUCAACUUGGGAACUGCAUUUGAAACUGCAAGACUAGAAUAUGUCAGAGGGGGGUAGAAUUCCACGUGUAGCAGUGAAAUGCGUAGAGAUGUGGAGGAAUACCAAUGGCGAAGGCAGCCCCCUGGGAUAACAUUGACGCUCAUGCACGAAAGCGUGGGGAGCAAACAGGAUUAGAAACCCUCGUAGUCC
rnacentral:rRNA from 1 species